UGCAUACUAGGCAUAGUGUGUCCCCUAAAAGGUAUAUAACAUCACAAGUGCUAUGAGUGGUCAAGACAACAGUCUGUGCCAAAGUGUCGUGACUUCAAAAGGUAAGAAACAAAAUGCUUGGAAAAAUAAUGGUUUUCCUGCUCAUCGCUGUUGCUAUGACGACGGCGUUCUAUCUACCUUACUAUGGAUAUGACGAUGAUUUUUAUGACGAUAUCUAUGAUGACUUCGAUGACUUCGAUGACUUCGAUGACUUCUAUGACGAUGAUUUCUAUCCAUAUCGACCCUAUCGGUUCUUCGGCUAAGAGCCAACCAUCUGCAAGUGCCAACCAUUACUACUGGAUGUCAAAGUGCUGAAUAAGUGUUCAACAACCCUGUCACUGACUACGAGGAUCCAGAUUCAAGCAUCGAUCUACAAAUAUGGUUUCAGGCGAUGGAAGUAUAAUGUUAUUACCCUGUCGUAUUUAAUUAUAAACAUUUUAUACUUUUAUCAUAAAUAAAUAUUUCAUAGUUUCUUAAAAAA